UACGGGGGGGGGCAAGCGUUGUUCGGAAUUACUGGGCGUAACGGGCUCGUAGGCGGCCAACUAAGUCGGAUGUGAAAUCCCCAGGCUUAACCUGGGAACUGCAUCCGAUACUGGAUGGCUUGAAUUCGGGAGAGGGAUGCAGAAUUCCAGGUGUAGCGGUGAAAUGCGUAGAUAUCUGGAGGAAUACCGGUGGCGAAGGCGGCAUCCUGGACCGACAUUGACGCUGAGGAGCGAAAGCUAGGGGAGCAAACGGG
rnacentral:rRNA from 1 species